UUAAUGGUUGCUAUGCAUUAAUAAGGAAUGAGGUGAAAACCCUCAACGGUCCCGCCGCCGUAAAAACGAGCAAAGAUAAGACCACUGGGAAACUGGGAAGGUAUCUACGCAUUGAAGUUGAGUCGGAAGACUUGCCAUUAUCUG
rnacentral:ncRNA from 1 species